AUAGAUAAAAAAAAAAAAAUGUAGCAUUGAUGUUUAAAAAAAAAAAAAGGGCUAAGUAGAAUUUGUAGUAGUGUUUUUAGUUAUUUAUUUCUUUAUUUAUUUUUGAUAAAAAUAAAAAAAUAUAUUAAAAUAAAAUAAAAUUUCAGUAACAUUCCGUCUUGCUAGAGACGUUAAACUUAGCCCAUUUUUAUUUUAUUUUAUUUUGUUGGUUGUAUAUACAUGUUCUUUUCCUUUGUAAAAAAAAAAAAAAAAAAAAACAAAAACAAAAAAAAAUUUAAUUGAUUUAUUUUAGUAUAUAUUUAUUUCUUUUUAGUUUAGUAUAUAUUUUUUUUCUUUUUAGUUUAGAAUAUUUUUCUUUGUGUAAAAAAAGAAAAAAAAAAAAACACUGGGAGAUCAAUCCUAUUCUUGAAAUUAAAAAAAAAAAACAUAUCACAAAAAUUUCAAAAAUAUGUAUCCCCAUUAUGCCCUUCUGCUUAGUUAUGCAUGUUUUCAUCUUUUACAAAGGGCUUGAUAUCAUAUCUCUUUACAUCUUAUUCUAUAUUGUUUUGGAAUGUAUGCUUUACUUAUCCCAUUUGAUAUUUGAUGUGAGUUACUAGUGUGGCUUUUCUAGUAGGUUUUUGCAUCCAAGUUUGGGGGAGACCUCUUUCGUCAUGGAUCAUUGCCGGGCGUCAUUAACUUUUGCCAUCACGGGCAAUAAAGUUAAAAUGAGCUAAGAACGGUCCAAUUAAGCCUUUUUGGAGUUAAGCAAAUAUUUUCAGAAAAUGGCACAAAACGGUCAAUCUCGGGCCUUUGAUGAUGUUCCCAAAGAUGGAGAAGCAAACCAAAUAGUCCGGGGCAAAAAUGGAGUUGAAUAAGGCUUAAAGGAAUUUUCUAACUGUGAGGGAUCGAUCCCCCAGGGUGGGAGAUCAAUCCCCCAGGACUUGGCAACAUUGCAUAUUUUUAUUUUAAUGUUUGGGCUUAUUUUGUAACCUAGUGGGCUUUAUUAGGUUUAUUACUUAAGCCCAGUAAGGCCCAUUGUUUUUAGGGUUAGUAUUUAUUAGUUUAGUGAUUUAUUAUUUGAAGAAUUAAGUUUUGAUUUUUUUUUAAUCUGUAUCGUGAUAUUGUUCUCUCUGAAAGAAAACGAAAGAAAGAAAAAAAGCGAGGGUUUCAAGAAUAUUUUUUACAGAGGCUUUGUCUACAGUUGAAGGAAGAAGAAGAAGGGCCAAAAGAUGGAGAUAGGACUUGUUGACACCUUGAUCAUCUCCUCCAUGAGCUAGUUCUUCACUUAGGGCUUGGAUGAGCCCUAAGUUCAUGUAACCCUAACCUUUGUAUUUCUUUUCUUGGGGAAUUAUUAUGUUGUAAUUAAAUUGUAUGGCCUUGCGAUUUCUUAAUAUAUACAUGCUUGAUUUGAUAAA